UUCAAAACAGCCGCCAGGAACACCUUCAACUGUUCCACUGUCAGCCAUCUUGUUUUUACACCUCCAGCUGUUCCACUGCCAGCCAUGUUUUGUUUUUAUAGCUGAUAAACAGUGAAACAGUGAGUGACAGUGACAGUGGCAGUGGCAACUCAAUUAUCAGUGUUUGACAGUGAUGAAGACGAAAAAAGAGUAUAAGUGGUUGCAGAUGACAAACUGUCGGUCAUUGUAGAAACACAAGACGUCAGAAAAACCACACCAUGUGGUAAAAAGAUGGAAAAUAAAAGCCCACUGAGGAUGCUGCAACUGCAGUGAAACAUGUCUGGGUUAAAAAACAAAACUGUGUUUUGCUAAAGGCGG